GUUAGGUUGGCAGAGAAAUGUGUUUGGUUUAGGGCCAAAAUAUGGAGUUAGAUCCACCUGCUG
rnacentral:tRNA from 1 species